AUUGAACGCUGGCGGCAGGCCUAACACAUGCAAGUCGAACGAGUGGCGGACGGGUGAGUAAUGUCUGGGAAACUGCCUGAUGGAGGGGGAUAACUACUGGAAACGGUAGCUAAUACCGCAUACCAUCGGAUGUGCCAAGAUGGGAUUAGCUAGUAGGUGGGGUAAAGGCGUACCUAGGCGACGAUCCCUAGCUGGUCUGAGAGGAUGACCAGCCACACUGGAACUGUGACACGGGCCAGCCUCCUACGGUAGGCAGCGAUGGGGAAUAUUGGACAAUGGGCGAAAGCCUGAUGCAGCCAUGCCGCGUGUAUGAAUAAGGCCUUCGGGUUUUAAAGUACUUUAAGCGGGGAGGCGUUACCCGCAGAAGAAGCACCGGCUAACUCCGUGCCAGCCGCCGCGGUAAUUC
rnacentral:rRNA from 1 species